AGGAACGCGUGGACAACCUACCCCGGCGUGGGGGAUACCCGCCAGAAAUGGCGGCUAAUACCGCGUACGGUUGCUUGGCGAGGGGCUGAGCAAAGAAAGCAGUGAUGCGCGCUGGGAGGGGUCUGCGGCCGAUUAGCUAGUUGGCGGGGUAACGGCCCACCAAGGCGAUGAUCGGUAGCUGGUCUGAGAGGAUGAUCAGCCACACGGGGACUGAGACACGGCCCCG
rnacentral:rRNA from 1 species